GAAGACAUCCAAUUUCUAUUUUUUUUUUUUCUUUUUCCUUCUUCAAUUUGCAGAGAACUUCUAAGAGAGAGUUUUGAAUAAGAAGAGAAAUUUUACUAGAAUUUUGAGGUUGAAGAAGAGGAAGAGAACUCAAGCAAAGUGUAUCCAUGGCUGAAUUUUAGUUCAUUCUGCACAUCACUGGAAGAACGUUGGAGCAAAUUCGGAUAUUCAUUUGGUGCUUUUUAAUGAAGAAAACAAGGCAGUUGGUUUUCACUCGAAAUCAGGAGGUCUCUGGUUUUUCUUGUAUUUAAGAGCGUAUCGGUGGACUUAGAAUCUCUAUUUGGUAUGGUUGGAAAGCUUAUUCAAUUUAAUACAACUUUCAUGAAGAAAUUGUAAACCAAAAACGACUAAAAAUCAGUUAAAUUGUAGGGACAAGUUAAAGAGGUCGUGUGCACGCGAUUCUGGAAGUGGUUCUGUUUUGAGGGUUAUAUGUGUUUAUGCACGAGGAAUCAGAUUUAUAUGUCUUCAGGCCGAGAAGAAUUAAAUCGAGCUUAUAGACCAAGGAUCUAGCCCAAGACUGUAGAGAUCGAGUUCCCGGUGCCUGAUAGACUGCCUUAGUCUGCGGAAGCUUCAUUAUCGAUUGCCAGUACGUGUUUUGAGUUGGGCAUAGAGUCUGUUGUGUUGUGAUGUAUAUACACCCUUGUAUGUUAUAGAUACUCCACAGUUUGUAUAAGCUUUAGGAGCUGUAGUUGUGUAAAUUUUGUUGGUUAUAUUUUGAUUAAGGUGUAUUUAGGUUUACUCGUGAAAUCGGUAAAUUUUGAGGUACACUUCAUGUAUGUGUUUGACUAGCUGUGUUUGACUAUCCUAGGAUCCGCUGUGUUUUGUGGCAUGUACAAUAGUUUAUAUACUAGAUUGGCAAGUUCAUCACAUGAAAGUUUUAAGCAGAGUCGACAGAUACAGGUACAGAAAAGCGUUGUUCGUCGGCUUCACGCCAUCUUUCGAUCUAAGGUAGCAGGUAGUCUGAGAGGGGGUGUGACAUUUUGUGUUUUGUGGUCGAGUCUUAGUACGAGUAGUGACCUCAGCUUAGUCCGAAAAGUUAGGUCGUUACAGUUGGUAUCAGAGCCUAAGUUUUAGGUUCUGUAGACUGACUUAUGAUGUGAGUCUGUGUUUUGUGUCCUUAUGGCUAAAACGAUCCUUGCCACUCGUCAGGUACGCUCUCAUGAAAUUAUAUGUAUAACUCUAUAUGCAUUACCUUACCUAAGUUAAACUGCGAAGUUAAUUAUCACUUAUGACUAAAGGGAUCAUUGGUGGUUGUUAGGGAAAUGCCGCCAAGGACAGGUGCACGUAAGGGUGGCCGAGGAGGCCAAGGAAGGGGAGCAGGACGUGUUCAACCUGAGGUGCAGCCUGUAGCCCAAGCCACUGACCCAGCUGCGCCAAUUACUCAUGCAGACCUCGCUGCUAUGGAGCAGAGGUUCAGGGAUUUGAUUAUGCAGAUGAGGGAGGAGCAGCAGCAGCCUGCCCCGCCAGCUCCUGCUCUAGCUCCGACUCCAGUUCCUGUUGUGCCCCAGGUCGUGCCGGAUCAGUUGUCGACAGAGGCCAAGUACUUGAGGGAUUUCAGGAAGUAUAACCCCACGAAAUUCGAUGGGUCCUUGGAGGACCCCACCAGGGCUCAGCUGUGGUUAUCGUCUUUGGAGACCAUAUUUCGGUAUAUGAAGUGCCCUGUGGAUCAGAAAGUUUAGUGUGUUGUUUUCAUGUUGACAGACAGAGGUACUGCAUGGUGGGAGACUACAGAGAGAAUGCUAGAGGGUGAUGUGGGUCAGAUUACGUGGCAACAAUUCAAGGAGAGUUUCUAUGCGAAAUUCUUCUCUGCCAGUUUGAGAGAUGCCAAGCGGCAGGAGUUCCUGAACUUAGAGUAGGACGACAUGACAGUGGAGCAGUAUGAUGUGGAGUUUGACAUGUUAUCCCGCUUCGCUCCCGAGAUGAUAGCGACUGAGGCGGCCAGAGCUGAUAAGUUUGUUAGAGGCCUCAGACUGGACAUCCAGGGUUUGGUUCGAGCUUUCCGACCCGCCAUUCAUGCUGAUGCACUGCGCCUGGCAGUGGAUCUCAGUUUACAGGAGAGGGCUAACUCGUCUAAGGUCGAAGGUAGAGGUUCGACCUCGGUACAGAAAAAGAAGGCUGAGCAGCAGCCUAUUCCAGUGCCACAGCGGAACUUCAGACCAGGUGGUGAGUUUCGCCGCUUCCAGCAGAAACCUUUUGAGGCAGGGGAAGCCGUUGUGUACCACUUGUGGGAAGCACCAUCUGGGCCGUUGUUUAUUUGAGACCAGGAAUUGCUUUAAGUGUAGGCAAGAGGGGCAUACAGCUGACAGAUGCCCGAUGAGACUUACGGGGAAUGCGCAGAAUUAGGGAGCAGGUGCUCCACAUCAGGGUAAAGUCUUUGCUACCAACAAGACUGAGGCUGAGAGGGCAGGCACGGUGGUGACAGGUACACUUCCAGUAUUGGGGUAUUACGCCUUAGUUUUGUUUGAUUCGGGUUCGUCGCAUUCUUUUAUCUCUUCUGUAUUUGUGUUGCAUGCCCGCUUAGAGGUAGAGCCCCUACACCAUGUUUUAUCAGUGUCUACUCCUUCUGGGGAGUGUAUGUUGGCGAAAGAAAAGGUGAAAGCAUGCCAGAUUGAGAUAGCAGGCCAUGUGAUUGAAGUAACGUUGUUGGUUCUGGACAUGCUCGACUUUGAUGUAAUUCUGGGUAUGGAUUGGUUGGCCGCUAACCAUGCCAGCAUAGAUUGUUCCCGUAAGGAGGUAGCGUUUAACCCUCCCUCGAUGGCCAGUUUUAAAUUUAAGGGAGAAGGGUCAAGGUCGUUGCCUCAGGUAAUCUCAGCCAUCAGGGCCAGUAAACUGCUCAGUCAGGGUACUUGGGG